rnacentral:rRNA from 1 species
GACAGAGGUGCCAAGCGUUAGGCGGAAUCACUGGGCUUAAAGCGUGUGUAGGCGGACCCGUCAGUGUCUUGUGAAAUCCCCCGGCUCAACCGGGGAACGGCUGGGCAUACUGCGGGUCUUGGGGCGCUCAGGGGCGAGCGGAACAGACGGUGGAGCGGUGAAAUGCGUAGAUAUCGUCUGGAACGCCAAUGGUGAAAACAGGUUGCUGGGAGUGUGCUGACGCUGAGACACGAAAGCCAGGGGAGCAAACGGG